rnacentral:lncRNA from 7 species
UGCGGGAGUUCAGAGCUGCGUGCAGAGGACAUUGUGUAGCCCGUCCUUUGGAGAAAGGCUUUUCGAAGCGUACACACAACGUAGCAGGUUUUACCUGUGCAGUCAAAGACGCACACGAGACCAACGUUCUGCAUCCAUUCAAGCACAAGCAAUUGUAUUUAAUUUAUGUGUUGGCGGUCGGUGAAGCUGGAGCUCUAAGAGAGGGAAGUGGUUUGAUGUUUGUCGCGUGGACAGAAGUCAGAGAAUCUAUGCAGUAAAGCAGAUGCUCAGUCACUGUUGUGCAUCCAUAUACCUCUAGCUGCUGAGCUGGGCCAGGAGCUGUAACCAAGGCAGAGGUCUGUGCCACGCAGCAGGGAGCCUGUAGCUGGCUGCUUAGUAAGCUAGGAAGUGCCCAGCCUUUGCUGCAUGAAGAGUUCUAGUAGACGACCAGCUACCUGUUUGCUUUGGGGGACCCCAGUAGCAUUUUCUGUUCCGCUCGUAGGAUGUCGUGUCCUGCCUUGGUUGCAUGCAGUAGCUCGGGACGGGGUUUGCCCUGCAUUGCGUAUGCAACGGGGAGGGGGGACCACGAGGACAUUGCUUUAUGUAGGCUUCAGGAAAAGGAUGCCAUAUUCCUAAAACAGACAAUAGAUGUUCUGAAUGGUGAAUUUGCUGUACCACUUUCUUGACUCUUUGGAAUGCAGAGAGGAGGCAGCUGAUUAACGAGGGAAGCCCAACAGCCUGAGCUUACCCUGUUUGGUCCAUGUCCUGAUGUGGCUCGGCCGUGCUUCCCAACCUCUGGCUUUGGGGAGAGCUGCUCCCUGCAGUGUGCCCCGCUCCCUGAGCUCGGGCCGCUUGCUGGUGUGGGUGCAUCUUCUGCUGCUUUGUUUCCGAGUCAGUGAAAACCUAAAAACAUGCAGAGGUGGGAAUUUUUGUUGAGAGCUGUUGAAGGAAGCUUCAGAGGCUGUGAAGUUGAGCAUUUAUUGUCAUGUUCUUAAGCUUAGGUGGGUCCUUUUCCAAGUUUGUUUUACAGCUUGCAAGGUAAAAUAGUUUGCACUACUUUUGCAAUAAACUCAUGAAAA